rnacentral:rRNA from 1 species
AGUGAACGCUGGCGGUAGGCCUAACACAUGCAAGUCGAACGACCGCACCGUAAGAGCUUGCUCUUACGGGUGGCGAGUGGCGGACGGGUGAGGAAUACAUCGGCAUCUACUUUUUCUUGGGGGAUAACGGAGGGCAACUUACGCUACUACCGCAUAUGUCCUACGGCUUAAAGCAGGAGAUCUUCACACCUUUCGCGUCUCAAUUAGCUGAUGCCGGAUUAGCUAGUUGGCUUGGUAAAGGCCCACCAAGGCGACGAUCCGUAGCUGAUCUGAGAGGAUGAUCAGCCACACUGGAACUGAGACACGGUCCAGACUCCUACGGGAGGCAGCAGUGGGGAAUAUUGGGCAAUGGGCGCAGGCCUGACGCAGCCAUACCGCGUGAGUGAAGAAGGCCUUCGGGUUGUAAAGCCCUGUUGUUGGGAAAGAAAAGCAGCAGGUUAAUACCCCGAUGUUCUGACGGUACCCAAAGAAUAAGCACCGGCUAACUUCGUG